GGGGCGGUAGCUCAGCAGGUCAGAGCAGAGGACUCAUAAUCCUCCGGUCGUGGGUUCGAGCCCCACCCGCCUCA
rnacentral:tRNA from 1 species